CAAAGGUACUGAGGAGACAUUAUUGAUUUGAAGGGGUUGUAGCUGGCCUUUCACGAGGCAUGUGCACACCCUGCUUCAUCCACUUUACACCUGUGCACACCUUGUAGGCUCAGAGGAGUGCCGGGGCUUCCCGCCCUGGUGCGAGUCUGGCCCUAUGUUUUUCUACACACUCUGAUCAGUCAAUGAAUGUCAUCGCGUCAAACGCAUUUUAUACAACUUUCAGCAACGGAUCUCUUGGCUCUCGCAUCGAUGAAGAACGCAGCGAAAUGCGAUAAGUAAUGUGAAUUGCAGAAUUCAGUGAAUCAUCGAAUCUUUGAACGCACCUUGCGCCCCUUGGUAUUCCGAGGGGCACACCCGUUUGAGUGUCGUGAAAUUCUCAAUCCAAACACCUUUUGCGAGGUGUCUGGGCUUGGACUUGGGGGUCUGCUGGCUUUUGUCGGCUCUCCUUGAAUGCAUUAGCUCGAACCCUUGCGGAUCGGCUGCCGGUGUGAUAAUUGUCUACGCCGCGGUUGUGAUGCCACCUUCGGGUGUGGUCGGCUUCUAAUCGUCCUGAGAGGGACAACUUUUUGAAAUCUGACCUCAAAUCGGGUGGGACUACCCGCUGAACUUAAGCAUAUCUA
rnacentral:rRNA from 1 species